rnacentral:lncRNA from 1 species
UAGGAUCUAGGCUUUGGCUACUAAAGGAUUAGGGCCACCUUUAAAGUGUGGGGGGUUAAGUUUCCUAAACUAUGCUAUAUUGUGGGAAAUAGACCGAUUUAUAUUUCAGAAUUCAGGGGCAGGGGGUGGACAAGGGUUGGCUUGGUUUUGUCCUACGGCUUCAGUUAAUCCUUAAAUGGAUCUAAAAAGUUCGACAAAUUUAGCCCUAGUUGGAUGAACCAGGGCUUCAAGUCGUUCAAUAUGCUCUAUAGAUGGUCUUCCCAGUGUGAUUUCUAUAAAAGAAAGGAAGACACGAGUUGGAGGCUUAAUCUUUGAAAAGAGGACAUUUAUCUUCCCUAGGUACUCUAUAAGGUUUAUCUA